rnacentral:rRNA from 1 species
GAUGAACGCUGGCGGCGUGCCUAAUACAUGCAAGUCGAGCGAACGGACGAGAAGCUUGCUUCUCUGAUGUUAGCGGCGGACGGGUGAGUAACACGUGGAUAACCUACCUAUAAGACUGGGAUAACUUCGGGAAACCGGAGCUAAUACCGGAUGAUAUUUUGAACCGCAUGGUUCAAAAGUGAAAGACGGUCUUGCUGUCACUUAUAGAUGGAUCCGCGCUGCAUUAGCUAGUUGGUAAGGUAACGGCUUACCAAGGCAACGAUGCAUAGCCGACCUGAGAGGGGGAUAGGCCACACUGGAACUGAGACACGGUCCAGACUCCUACGGGAGGCAGCAGUAGGGAAUCGUCCGCAAUGGGCGAAAGCCUGACGGAGCAACGCCGAGUGAGUGAUGAAGGUCUUCGGAUCGUAAAACUCUGUUAUUAGGGAAGAACAGAUGUGUAAGUAACUGUGCACAUCUUGACGGUACCUAAUCAGAAAGCCACGGCUAACUACGUG